ensembl:lncRNA
CAGGAAUCGAACCCAUGUCGUCCUGCAUUGGCAGGCAGAUUCUCAGCCACUGGACCACCAGGGAAGUCCCAUUGUUGGUGCAAUCUGGCAACCUUCACCAGGGUUUACACUGCUUCCUUUGGCUCAGAAACUGUACCUCCAAGCACAGUCUUGAAGCCCUAACUGAAGCCCUUUGUGAGGCUGGAAACUGAGGCCAUUGACUGAAGAUUGCUUAGGAGAGAGACCAGAAACAGCCUCACGCCCACAGCGGGGACGGGUGAGACGCGUGCCGUACAGCUCUCCACGGCUCUCCACGGAGCUGGGGCAGGUGGUGGAUUCUUUACCACUGAGUCACCGGGGAAGCCCAUGAAAUGCACACGUGGUUCAGCAGUAGAGAAUCUGCCUGCCAAUGCAGGAGACCCUGGAGACUCAGGUUUGAUCCCUG